rnacentral:lncRNA from 1 species
AUGGUAUACCGUUGUCCGUCCGUUGUCCACACUUCGGACAAUAACUCAAAAACACUUUCACCAAUUUCCAUGAAACAUAAGUGAAUUGUUUAUAUCUAUUGACGUAAGCUCCCUUUUGUUUUUUUUUAAUUUCAGAUUUUUAAGUUUUGGAUUUAUGGGGCUUUAUUCAUAAAAAAGGGGGGAUUUUCAACACUUCGGACAAUAACUCAAAAAGGCUUUCACCAAUGUCCAUGAAACUUGGUGAAUUUGUUUAUAUCUAUUGAUGUAAGCUCCCUUUCAAUUUUUAUAAAUUUCAGAUUUUAAGUUUUGGAUUAAUGGGGCUUUAUUCAUAAAAAAGGGGG